GACACUGUUCACCGUGCCCCUCGUGCUGAUCGGCUGCUAUCUUGGCAUUCGGAAGCUGUACCAGAGCAGACGACUCAUGAAACUUAUGUUGGUUUGAUGUGACCUACAGAAGAGUUUUGCUUUGCUUUUAAUUCCAAAAAGCAGCUGAGCUGGAACCUGUUGAGAAGAGUCUCUUCAUUUCAUAGGUAAAGCAAACUGCCAGCGUUCUUUUUUCCAGCUCUUGGCCGGAAAAUAAAAAUCUAUCAGCAGAAAAUACUCGAGUGAAGUAACUGAUAUAAAUUAGGGAUUUGGUCUGUUUGCUCCCUAAGCCCUGAGUUCCUCAGAGCUGCAGCUCCCUGCUCUCUCUGCAGACAGAGGCUGGCUGUGGAUGACAGUCACGUGUCUGGCCUGGUGCCCACCAGGUGCACACAUGAGCUGAGGGAUCAUCCCUGCACGCCCCAUCCUGGAAGAACCGAGGUCAUUGAUGAAUCUGACACGGUUUUAUGGCAUGGCAGCAAAAGAAGGCAAAAGAAAGGCUACAAUUGGUACCAUUCCAACCCCUUGACAUUUUCCCGUGUGUAAUGGAGAUAGGAACUACAAGUUUCCUAUCCAUGCACAAUUUGCUGUCUGAGAGCACUCUGUUCUCAAAGUCACAGGGGCUUGCAGGUCUGUGUCUGAGAUGACUUUAAAUACAAAAACAACCUUUAUGUGCAACACCUGUGUAUCAAAACUUCACAAUACAAAUCACAAGUUGAUUUCUGCUGUUAAGUGGAUGAAAAAAAACCCAAAAAGCAAAAGUAAAACCGUGACCAAAUCAAACAGGCAAACACAACAACCACCAAGAAAACAAGAAAACCAACAGAAACAUCCCCACAAAUCCAGAAAAAGAUAAAAAUCAGGUGAAGGAGGCAGAGCUCCAAGAGCAACAAAUGGGCAGAGAAACUACAGGAAGGACAGCUCAUAAGAAAGGAGAGAUAAGAAGUGGCUAUGGCAUCAAACUAGCCAAGGCAUGUGAGAUAGUGUUCUCACCCUUCUGAAAACAAUCUGACAUAAAAAUGAACAGAAAAGAAAUGAUGACGAUUGUGAUAAUGGGAGUCUGCAUGUUUAGCUUUAAUAUAUCCAUUGUGUGUGAGUUGUGUUUUCCUUGUUAAGUCACAUCAUCUGGCAAGGGUUUUUAUCUGUGCGAAGAAAAAUACUGCAGUGGAAAAGGAGGACGGCUGGUAAAAUAUUAAAAGCAAGAGCUAAAAAUAAAGUACUCAUUUUUAAUAUGUGGUUUGGUUGGUUUGCUGGCUGUUCAUGGGUUUUUUGUCUGUCUUUGAAAGCAGCCCCUCGGAUGUUAAUGCACGCAACAAGUCCUUUGUAAAGGGCUGUCUUUGCAAAAAACCUGCCAGUUCUGUGAUGCAAGACAGAAACAGCUUCCCUUGGGCGACACCCAGGAUGUUAUAAAUAAAUUCACUUUCAAAGGUGGAGUUCUUAAUGGUUAAUUAUUACAAUAAGUUAUUGUGGAUUGUUAAUGAAUAUAAUGAGUUGUUAUAUAAUUCAUGUGAUGAGUUGUUGAGUGGAAUGUACAGUUGUUGAAGUGUAUGUGUAUGGCUACUAAACAGAGAAAGGGGGGUGGUAAUAAGGUAAGAAUCUUCUAGAAAAGUGACAUCAUAGGGCGAUGACAGCAACUGGAACUACGAUUGGGAAACGAGCCACCCAGUAAGUUUGCUGUUUUCCAAAAUGAUUGGUCAGGACUGCACCAUCUUACAGAGCAAUCAGCCACCAAGAAAAGGACCGGUGGGCAAGAGGAUCCAAAGGGCACCAAUCGAGCACCCCCAAGAAACUUUAAAAAAUCCCUGGGUGCGGAGCAGCCGGGCUCUUUCGAGGGCACCUCGUGCCCGCAGGAACACCUUGUCACACAGCGCUGUUAGAGCUACCUCUGGCUUGUGGCGCAGGCCCUAGGCUUACCCUGAGGCCUCGGCCUCUGUUGUUCUAAGUUUUAAUGAACAGGCACAUUUUUUAUAAAA